UGGAGAGGUGGCAGAGUGGUUGAAUGCGGCUGACUCGAAAUCAGUUUUGGGGUCAAACCCAACGGAGGUUCGAAUCCUCUCCUCUCCGU
rnacentral:tRNA from 1 species